rnacentral:rRNA from 1 species
UGCCAGACUCCUACGGGAGGCAGCAGUGGGGAAUAUUGCACAAUGGGGGGAACCCUGAUGCAGCAACGCCGCGUGGGUGAAGAAGUACUUCGGUAUGUAAAGCCCUGUCAGCAGGGAAGAAAAUGACGGUACCUGACCAAGAAGCCCCGGCUAACUACGUGCCAGCAGCCGCGGUAAUACGUAGGGGGCAAGCGUUAUCCGGAUUUACUGGGUGUAAAGGGAGCGUAGACGGCAAGGCAAGUCUGGAGUGAAAGCCCGUGGCUCAACCACGGGACUGCUCUGGAAACUGCGUCGCUGGAGUACGGGAGGGGCAGGCGGAAUUCCUGGUGUAGCGGUGAAAUGCGUAGAUAUCAGGAGGAACACCGGCGGCGAAGGCGGCCUGCUGGACCGUGACUGACGUUGAGGCUCGAGAGCGUGGGGAGCAAACAGGAUUAGAUACCCCAGUAU